CACAGAUCCCUCCAUUCUUGGGCUUGUUUUCACUGGGAGGAUCGAGAGAGAGACAGAGAGGGACAGGAUGAGUGUCAGGGGACAACUGGCAGGCAGCAAGUCUAAUCCAGGGGAAUCCCAACUACACACGGCUGGGCUGGUGGAGAAGGCACAGAUAUGGAUUUAGCAGAGCUCAUUAGCUCCAUUUCGCAUGUGAGGAAAGCUACAGUCUUGUCCCAUCGCUGCAACUCCUGUACAGACUUGGGAGAGGAGAUGAUCGAGAGCCAUGCGUCCUCUGAAACACGACCCUGCCAAGCUGCACUGCUUGACACACAGCUCGCUUAACCCACCAAUGUGUCGGAGGAAACACAGUACAACUGGCCAUUGUGUCAGCAUGCAUGCGCCCAGCCCGCCACAGGAGUCGCUAGAGCGUGAUGGGACAAGGACAUCCUGGCCGGCCAAAUCCUUCCCUAACCCAGACAACACUGGGACAAUUGUGCACCGCCUCAUGGGUCUCUGCCUGGUGGUUUUAAUUAAAGUCACUGAUUGGGGAGAGUCCUACCUGCCCCCCACGCAUAAACCAGAUUACAAUCUGAACUCACCCCUGAUGUCCUAAAGAAGUAAAAGGACACCUUUACCUCUUCCCACUCCACAGCCAGAUGACAGCUGUUGGGCAUGCUUUUAGGGGGCUUAAAUGAAAAGCUAUUGCCAUGUAAUUAGUCAUUAGACAAAGCUACUUAGCCUAAAGCUAAAUUUUUCUAGAGAUUCACCACAAAAUGACGACAGUGAGAUGAAAGUGACUAAACUUACAAACUACCGUGGGAACAACUAGAGGCACCUAUGAGAUAUCACCAGGAAUUCCAUGGCAAUGGUCAAGCCAUAAAAUACUUGAUACUAUGAUCAGAUACUUUGCAAUGCAAUCUGAACAGUUUUCAUAUGGGACAAACUGUAGCCUCCUAGGCUAUAGUUAGAGGCUAUUCUCAUUGACAUCUAUAUCUUACAUUACAUUUUGCCUUACCUUUCAUUGUGUCUGGUAAUGUGACAUUCUUGCUCUGCAGCUCCAAAUGUAGCGUAAUUAUCAGCAUUACGGUAGCCACUAAGCUUGCAAAUUAUUAAACUACGUGAGCAACUGCUCUAAAACAUAUUAGCUACACUCUUGAAUAAUGCAACCAAACCAUAUUACGCUCUUGAAUAAUGCAACAAUUCACAAGCAUAUGCAGACAAUUAAAGGGUUUAUUUUCUUGUUUAUACACGCAUUAGCUAAAUGUAGCUUGCAAGACAAUAACACUGCUAGCUAGCUAUGCUAGCAAGUAACUUUAGCAUAUUGAACAUCUGCCCCUCUCAUAUGAAUAUAAAAGUACAGUUUCAGUGUAUUAAAGUUACAUUCGAACAAACCAGGCUUAAUGGUAUCAAUAUGAAAGUAAUUCCAUAGGGUAAAUGCAAAAUUGCCCUAUCCCACCCUUGACAAGAGGAAUACCAACAACGGUGCCCCCCAGGAGGGUGCGCUCAGCUCCCUCCUGUACUCCCUGUUCACUGAUGACUGGGUGACAACGCACGACUCCAACUCCAUCAUCAAGUUUGCUGACGACACAACGGUGGUAGGUCUAAUAGCCAACAAUGACGAGACAGCCUACAGGGAGGAGGAUAGUGCCUUGGCAGAGUGGUGCCAGGGGCUACAUCACUGCCUUGCAGGGCAACUCCACCACCCGCAACCACAUGGCUCUCCCAACACAUCAUCGGGGGCACGCUGCCUCCAGGACAUCUACAGCACCCAGUGUCAUAGGACGUCCAAGAAGAUCAUCAAGGACCUCAGCCACCCGAGCAAUGGCCUGUUCACCAUGCUACUAUCUAGCAGAUGGAGACAGGGCAGGUGCAACAAAGGGCCAGAGAGACUGAAAAACAGCUUCUAUAUCCAGGCAAUCAGACUGUUGAAAAGGCAUCACUAGCCGGAUACCACCCGGUACUCUGCCCUGCACCUUAAGAGACUGCGGCCCCCUGUACGUAUAUAGAGACAUUGAACACGGAUCACUUUGGCAAUGUUUACCUACUGUUGCCCACUUUAUAUGUAUAUACUUUAUUCUAGUCUCAUGUCUCAUCUUAUAUAACUAUUGCUGUACACACCUUUUCUAUUCAUAUACUGUCUAUACACACCAUUUAUAUAUACAUUUAUAUUCCGGACUCUGACAUUGCUUGUUCUGAUAUUUCAUAAUCAUUAUUUAUUUUUUAUUUUUUUGAAGAAUGUGUGUAUUGCUAUUGUAUUGCUAGAUAUUACUGCACUGUUGGAGCUAGAAACAUAAGCAUUUCGCUGUACCUGUGAUAAAAUCCACAAAUCUGUGUACGCGACAAAUAAACGUUGAUUUUGAUUUGAAAACGGUGAUAAUUCCCCUGGUGAUCAGCGUCUUGCUGCAUACUUCUUUCCUGGAGCAGCCAAGUGGGGAAAAACAGUUGUGCUUCCCAUUUCUUACAGAUACAGCAACAUUUUUAGAAUGUAAGAGGCUGUUAGUGCAGAUUCAGG